rnacentral:rRNA from 1 species
ACGUCUACAUUAGACUACCCGGUAGUCCCAGCCGUAAACUAUGCGCGUUAGGUGUAUCGGUGACCACGAGUUACCGAGGUGCCGAAGGGAAACCGUGAAACGUGCCGCCUGGGAAGUACGGUCGCAAGGCUGAAACUUAAAGGAAUUGGCGGGGAGCACCACAACAGGUGGAGCCUGCGGUUUAAUUGGACUCAACGCCGGGAAGCUCACCGGAUAGGACAGCAGAAUGAUUGCCGGGCUGAAGACCCUGCAUGACUAGCUG